rnacentral:tRNA from 1 species
GCCUCUGUAGCUCAGUUGGUUAGAGCGCUGCUCCGGAAUCGCAGGGCCGUAGGUUCGAUUCCUACCAGAGGAC